rnacentral:rRNA from 1 species
AACUUUCAACAACGGAUCUCUUGGUUCUGGCAUCGAUGAAGAACGCAGNNNAAUGCGAAAAGUAAUGUGAAUUGCAGAAUUCAGUGAAUCAUCGAAUCUUUGAACGCACAUUGCGCCCACCAGUAUUCUGGUGGGCAUGCCUGUCUGAGCGUCAU